rnacentral:rRNA from 1 species
GACGAACGCUGGCGGCGUGCUUAACACAUGCAAGUCGAACGGAAAGGCCCUGCUUUUGUGGGGUGCUCGAGUGGCGAACGGGUGAGUAACACGUGAGUAACCUGCCCUUGACUUUGGGAUAACUUCAGGAAACUGGGGCUAAUACCGGAUAGGAGCUCCUGCUGCAUGGUGGGGGUUGGAAAGUUUCGGCGGUUGGGGAUGGACUCGCGGCUUAUCAGCUUGUUGGUGGGGUAGUGGCUUACCAAGGCUUUGACGGGUAGCCGGCCUGAGAGGGUGACCGGCUACAUGGGGAUUGGGGAACGGCCCGGACGCCUACGGGGGGAAGGGGGGGGGAAAUUUGCAAAAGGGGGGGAAGGCUGAUGGAGCAACGCCGGGUGGGGGAGGACGGCCUUCGGGUGGGAAACGGCUUUCGCUGGGAACGAGGGGUGGGGAAGGGUAAUGGUGAAAAAAGCACCAGCAAACUACGG